rnacentral:rRNA from 1 species
GAACGGCCCUGUUUUGAAAGAUUUCUUCGGAAUGAAUUUGAUUUAGUUUAGUGGCGGACGGGUGAGUAACGCGUGAGUAACCUGCCUUCAAGAGGGGGAUAACAUUCUGAAAAGAAUGCUAAUACCGCAUGACAUAUCGGAACCACAUGGUUUUGAUAUCAAAGAUUUUAUCGCUUGAAGAUGGACUCGCGUCCGAUUAGUUAGUUGGUGAGGUAACGGCUCACCAAGACCGCGAUCGGUAGCCGGACUGAGAGGUUGAACGGCCACAUUGGGACUGAGACACGGCCCACACUCCUACGGGAGGCAGCAGUGGGGGAUAUUGCGCAAUGGGGGCAACCCUGACGCAGCAACGCCGCGUGAAGGAUGAAGGUUUUCGGAUUGUAAACUUCUUUUAUUAAGGACGAAACUUGACGGUACUUAAUGAAUAAGCUCCGGCUAACUACGUGCCAGCAGCCGCGGUAAUACGUAGGGAGCAAGCGUUGUCCGGAUUUACUGGGUGU